rnacentral:rRNA from 1 species
UACGUAGGGGCCUAGCGUUGUCCGGAUUUAUUGGGCGUAAAGAGCUCGUAGGCGGUUCGGUAAGUCAGGUGUGAAAUCUCCACGCUCAACGUGGAGGCGCCACCUGAAACUGCCGUGACUCGAGUCCGGUAGGGGAGUGUGGAAUUCCCGGUGUAGCGGUGAAAUGCGCAGAUAUCGGGAAGAAUACCCGUGGCGAAGGCGGCCGACUGGGCCGUCUCCGACGCUGAUGCGCGAAAGCGUGGGGAGCAAACAGG